GACAGAGGUCCCGAGCGUUAGGCGGAAUCACUGGGCUUAAAGCGUGUGUAGGCGGCGGCCUAAGUACCUUGUGAAAUCCCAACGGCUCACCCGUGGAACUGCUCGGUAUACUGGGUCGCUUGGGCCACUUAGGGGCUACCGGAACAAAUGGUGGAGCGGUGAAAUGCGUAGAUAUCAUUUGGAACGCCAAUGGUGAAAACAGGUAGCUGGGAGUGUGCUGACGCUGAGACACGAAAGCCAGGGGAGCAAACGGG
rnacentral:rRNA from 1 species